rnacentral:rRNA from 1 species
AUGAACGCUGGCGGCGUGCCUAAUACAUGCAAGUCGAGCGAACAGAUGAGGAGCUUGCUCCUCUGACGUUAGCGGCGGACGGGUGAGUAACACGUGGAUAACCUACCUAUAAGACUGGGAUAACUUCGGGAAACCGGAGCUAAUACCGGAUAAUAUAUUUAACCGCAUGGUUCAAUAGUGAAAGACGGUUUUGCUGUCACUUAUAGAUGGAUCCGCGCCGCAUUAGCUAGUUGGUAAGGUAACGGCUUACCAAGGCAACGAUGCGUAGCCGACCUGAGAGGGUGAUCGGCCACACUGGAACUGAGACACGGUCCAGACUCCGACGGGAGGCAGCAGUAGGGAAUCUUCCGCAAAGGGCGAAAGCCUGAAGGAGCAACGCCGCGUGAGUGAUGAAGGUCUUCGGAUCGUAAAACUCUGUUAUUAGGGAAGAACAAAUGUGUAAGUAACUAUGCACGUCUUGACGGUACCUAAUCAGAAAGCCACGGCUAACUACGUG